GACGAACGCUGGCGGCGUGCUUAACACAUGCAAGUCGAACGGAAAGGCCCUGCUUUUGUGGGGUGCUCGAGUGGCGAACGGGUGAGUAACACGUGAGUAACCUGCCCUUGACUUUGGGAUAACUUCAGGAAACUGGGGCUAAUACCGGAUAGGAGCUCCUGCUGCAUGGUGGGGGUUGGAAAGUUUCGGCGGUUGGGGAUGGACUCGCGGCUUAUCAGCUUGUUGGUGGGGUAGUGGCUUACCAAGGCUUUGACGGGUAGCCGGCCUGAGAGGGUGACCGGGCAGAGUGUGGUGGCGAGACGGACCGGAUCGUGAGGGUAGGCAGGGGGGGGGACGAGCGGACGGGGGGAGGCAGCCGGGGGAGGAAACGCAGGGUGGGGGAUGCCGGCGCUGGGUAUGAAAGCCGCUUGUGCGUGGGGAGAAGGGGGGGAGGGGGAAAUGGGUAGGGAAGCACGGGUUAAGGAGGGGAAAGCGGCCGCGGUAACAUGCGGAAGAGAAAACGUCUGACC
rnacentral:rRNA from 1 species